UGAUAGAAACUGUAAAAGAAGCUCAUCAUAUGUACGUGUGUGUAUGUUUGUAUAGGCAUAGGAGCAGCCGUGUGGUAAGUAGCUUGCUUACCAACCACAUGGUUUCGGGUUCAGUCCCACUGUGUGGGAACUUGGGCAAGUGUCUUCUACUAUAGCCU